rnacentral:rRNA from 1 species
UGGGGGAUAUUGCACAAUGGGCGAAAGCCUGAUGCAGCGACGCCGCGUGGGGGAUGAAGGCCUUCGGGUUGUAAACUUCUUUUGCUCUGAACAAGGCGCACCAUGGGGUGUGUUGAGUGUAGGGGUUGAUUAGCGCCGGCUAACUACGUGCCAGCAGCCGCGGUAAUACGUAGGGCGCGAGCGUUGUCCGGAAUUAUUGGGCGUAAAGGGCUUGUAGGUGGCUGGUUGCGUCUGUCGUGAAAGCUCAUGGCUUAACUGUGGGUUUGCGGUGGGUACGGGCUGGCUUGAGUGCAGUAGGGGAGGCUGGAAUUCCUGGUGUAGCGGUGGAAUGCGCAGAUAUCAGGAGGAAUACCGGGGGCGAAGGCGGGUCUCUGGGCUGUUACUGACACUGAGGAGCGAAAGCAUGGGGAGCGAACAGG